UAAAAGGGCUUCAACUAUGAAAAUGGUUCGGGCGCAUCUGUAAUCAGAUGUCGCUCGCGGAAUCUAAAUCAAGAGAUUUCGGAAGCAUAAUUUUUGCUACAGGGUGGGCUACUAAUCACUGUUGGGGCCCCCCA